rnacentral:rRNA from 1 species
GAGGGGUUUGCGUCUGAUUAGCUUGUUGGCGGGGUAACGGCCCACCAAGACAACGAUCAGUAGGGGUUCUGAGAGGAAGGUCCCCCACAUUGGAACUGAGACACGGUCCAAACUCCUACGGGAGGCAGCAGUGAGGAAUAUUGGUCAAUGGGCGAGAGCCUGAACCAGCCAAGUAGCGUGCAGGAAGACGGCCCUAUGGGUGGUAAACUGCUUUUAUGUGGGGAUAAAGUGCGCGACGUGUCGUGCAUUGCAGGUACCACAUGAAUAAGGACCGGCUAAUUCCGUGCCAGCAGCCGCGGUA